GACGAACGCUGGCGGCGUGCUUAACACAUGCAAGUCGAGCGGUAAGGCCCUUUCGGGGGUACACGAGCGGCGAACGGGUGAGUAACACGUGGGUGACCUGCCCUCCAGCUCUGGGAGUAAGACCUGGGAAACCGGGGUCGUAAUACUGGAUAUGACUCCAUGACGCAUGUUGUGGGGUGGAAAGCCUUGUGCGGCUGAGGAUGGGCCCGCGGCCUAUCAGCUUGUUGGUGGGGUGAU
rnacentral:rRNA from 1 species